rnacentral:rRNA from 1 species
UACGUAGGAGGCGAGCGUUGUCCGGAAUCACUGGGCGUAAAGCGCGUGUAGGCGGAUGACUAAGUUUGCUGUGAAAGCGCCUGGCUUAACCGGGCGAGGUCGGCGAAAACUAGUCGUCUGGAGGCCGGUAGAGGGGGGUGGAAUUCCGGGUGUAGUGGUGAAAUGCGUAGAUAUCCGGAGGAACACCAGGGGCGAAAGCGGCCGACUGGUCGAGUACUGACGCUGAGGCGCGACGGCGUGGGGAGCAAACAGG